rnacentral:sRNA from 1 species
UCCACACAUCCUGUUAGGAAAGAAGGCAAAGAGAGGCAGGCAUCCAAACAAUUCUCCAGCCAACAUCCCUGGGCUGCCCUCCCCUCUGAACUCCGCAGCGACUUCCUCAGUUGAGUGCAGGAACCAAUUUGAGGGCCACCAGACUGUGCACCUCCUCCCCAGAGUCCUGCUUCAGGAUGCAAAGCCAGACUGCACCUGCGCCCCGCGGGGACCGAGCAGCUGCUCAGCGAUCCCGACUGCCCCGCUGCAUCAGGGCUCCUGGCCCACAGCCGAGCUUCCCGCGGCUGCUGGCCUGAGGUCCACUCCAGCCCCAGCCGCUGCCCCAGGCCGCUGCCCCGGGAGCCUUCCCUUGUUUUCAUAAAACACACGCUGCCUCUUUGGGCACAUUUGCCAGUUGCCAUGGGCGUUUUCUGUUUCGACCCAAGCAGGGAUACAGAGUCAAGUGAUUCUGAGCUGUAAAUUUGGUAUGUUGGGGACCUUCCCGCUGCUGUAGCCUUACUCUGGAGAGGCAGGCGCGAAGGCCCACUCUCUGUUCUCAGGGUUCUUCUCCAGUCGCCAGACCUUCGUGAGGUACCAGGCAAACAGAAUGUGAAGACAACAGGAAGUCGGCUGUAGAUACAGGAAGCCACUGCAAAGGCCUCAGAGAGAGACCGGUGUGGCCCACUCCUGGCAUGCGCAGGUGAGAAGAGGUUCCGCAGG